rnacentral:ncRNA from 1 species
CUAUGACAAAUUUUUGUCAUGGCGGAAGGAG